rnacentral:rRNA from 1 species
AUUGAACGCUGGCGGCAGGCCUAACACAUGCAAGUCGAACGAGUGGCGGACGGGUGAGUAGUGUCGGGGAAACUGCCUGAUGGAGGGGUAUAACUACGGGAAACGGUAGCUAAUACCGCAUACCAUCGGAUGUGCCGAGAUGGGAGUAGAUAGUCGGUGGGGUAAAGGCUCACCGAGGCGACGACCCCUAGCUGGUCUGAGAGGAUGACCAGCCACACUGGAACUGAGACACGGCCCAGACUCCUACGGGAGGCAGCAGUGGGGAAUAUUGCACAAUGGGCGCAAGCCUGAUGCAGCCAUGCCGCGUGUAUGAAGAAGGCCUUCGGGUUGUAAAGUUCUGUCAUCAGGGAGGCGUUACCCGCAGAAAAAGCACCGGCUAACUCCGUGCCAGCAGCCGCGGUAAUAC